GACGAACCGUGCGAACGUUGUUCGGAAUCACUGGGCUUAAAGGGCGCGUAGGCGGGCCGUCCAGUCGGAGGUGAAAUCCCACAGCUCAACUGUGGAAGUGCCCCCGAUACUGACGGCCUCGAGGGGGGUAGGGGCGUGUGGAACUUCCGGUGGAGCGGUGAAAUGCGUAGAUAUCGGAAGGAACGCCGGUGGCGAAAGCGGCACGCUGGACCCCUUCUGACGCUGAGGCGCGAAAGCCAGGGGAGCAAACGGG
rnacentral:rRNA from 1 species